UGAGACCAAUAGGAAAUUGCUUGGAAUGAAGAGUGGUCAGCCUUCAGAGAGCCUUCCUAAACACUUUUAAGUGGAUUUAUGUUAUAGAUGAUAUAAUGACAGUCUCUGAGAAUUUUACAGAUUUAGAAAAGAAUUGGAAUGCUGUGCAAACACCACCAAAGGAAUAAAGACACUGUUCAGCUGCAGCUUCCCCUCUGAUUUCUACUGUGUGCUAAGGUAUAUAUAAACUGAAGAGUAACCUGUCCACAUUCUUUAUGAAGCCACAGAACUGUGGUGUGGAAACUUUCUGAGAUAUGGAAAUUUGGUUUGUAUCAGGAAGAAAAACAUAUGUGAUAUACACAGGCUAACUAGGAGAUUCAUUGGUCUUGCAUAAUCCUACCCCUUCAGAAGUUCCAUGCUAAGCGGUAGAAGAGUCCUG